CCAAAGCUCUUGAGAAGGGCUGACAUCUGUUUCCAGAGCCAUCCGAGAUCUCCCAGCUGCUGUUUUUCCCCCCAGGUGUUUGAGAUUGCUGAGGGUGUGGUGGGCAAUGUUGGCCCCACUCACAACUUCCAGCCCCCUCACUACGAUGGCAUUGAGUGCCUGGCCAUCCAAGGAGACAUCCUCUUCAGCGGCUCCAGGGACAACGGCAUUAAAAAGUGGGAUCUGGAAGCAGCAGGAACUUCUCCAGCAAAAUCCCAAUAGCACACAAAGAUUGGGUCUGUGCCCUGGCCUUCAUCCCUGGCCGUCCAAUGGUGCUGAGUGCGUACCGAGGAGGCGUGAUCAAAGUCUGGAACGUGGAUAACAUCAGCUCGGUUGGGGAGAUCAAGGGGCACGACAGCCCCAUCAACGCCAUCUGCACCAACUCCAAGCACAUCUUCACUGCCUCCAGGUGAGGCCUCAGGCUUGGGUGCCUCCCCAGAUCCUGCGGGAGGUGGAGUGCCUGGGUUGACUUGUCAUCCCUGGGCCUGGGUGGGUUUUGCACUGAGUGGGGCCGGGAGCCUGGAGGGCGAAGAGGGCAGGGGGGAUCUUGCAGCUUUCUGGUCCCUCAGUGCCUUCAUCUCACUUGCUGUCUUAGUCUGUCCCCUGCCCGCUCUCUGGGAUAUCCCCAUGCAGGUCCCCUCUUCCCUGGGGCUGGGCAUCCCUGCUGUUCUUGGGGAGCAAUUUGGCAGCAAGACUCUGAUAUCCACUCUCUUUUGUUUCUGCAGCAGCCGGAGCUGCACAUCUGACCUGGCUCACCCUGAGCUUCCCUGCAGAGAUCUCUGAAUCCCAACUGCAAAGUCUGCUGACCCUCUGCUCUUCCCUGGGUACCCACUUUGCUCUGCAGUGGGGUGGGGAAGGGCUGCAGAUGGGUGAGGAUGGAGAUGGUUGUGCCAGGAGCGGAGUGCGGACGGGUUGGACCCUGAUCUGCACGACUCCCCCCACGGCUGCACGCCUGAAGGACAAUCCUACAGAGAACGAUGGUGCAUGGCUGGAGCCCUUCAGAAGGCUGAAGGCUUCAGCCCAGUAGUGUCAACGAGGACGCAGCCUCUCCAGGCUGC
rnacentral:lncRNA from 1 species